rnacentral:rRNA from 1 species
UCGUGCCUACGGGGGGCAGCAGUGGGGAAUAUUGCACAAUGGGGGAAACCCUGAUGCAGCGACGCCGCGUGAGUGAAGAAGUAUUUCGGUAUGUAAAGCUCUAUCAGCAGGGAAGAAAAUGACGGUACCUGACUAAGAAGCCCCGGCUAACUACGUGCCAGCAGCCGCGGUAAUACGUAGGGGGCAAGCGUUAUCCGGAUUUACUGGGUGUAAAGGGAGCGUAGACGGCAGCGCCAGUCUGACGUGAAAUCCCAUGGCUUAACCAUGGAACUGCUUUGGACACUGU